CUACGAAGGGGGCAAGCGUUGUUCGGAAUAACUGGGCGUAAAGCGCACGUAGGCGGAAUGUUAAGUUAGAGGUGAAAUCCCAGGGCUCAACCCUGGAACUGCCUUUAAUACUGGCAAUCUAGAGACCGAGAGAGGUGAGUGGAAUUCCGAGUGUAGAGGUGAAAUUCGUAGAUAUUCGGAGGAACACCAGUGGCGAAGGCGGCUCACUGGCUCGGUACUGACGCUGAGGUGCGAAAGCGUGGGGAGCAAACAGGAUUAGAUACCCCAGUAGUCC
rnacentral:rRNA from 1 species